rnacentral:lncRNA from 1 species
UCAGCAGAGGGGCUGCAGGCUGCUGGUGCUCCUCCAGAUGCAACUAAACAGCCAAAGCCAAAAUAAUAUUUAUCCUAUAAAGACCGUGAGUAGGUUUAAUGAAAGUUGCAAGCAACGUUCAGAUUAUGUGAAACAGGAUAACCCUUGAGGUCAUGCAUUGGCCUGAGUUUUGCUAUGAGUGCAACAAAAGCAUGUUUUUAAAAUUGAAAUAGUGAUGACUUCUACUUUUAUCAUCAAUGGAAAAUCUUUUAAAAACUGGACAACAUUAUGUUUUGUUUGCUGCUUGUUUCACAAAACCUAGGACUAUUUUGGGAGGCCAAUAAAGAUUCACUGACGUCAAAAUGGAAUAUUAAAGGCAGAUGUUUCUAGUUAGCUUAUUUAUCCCUAACCACUUUUCCUGAUUUUUUUUUUUUUUUAGAGAUAAGUCUAGACUAGACAGAGCACAUUUCUAAAGCAUGCUUAUUAACUCAUUGGUUAUUAAAUAUUUUCCAGAAUAAGACUAUCAAUUUUCUUUCCUCUCCCUAAUAUCGUUAUUAAUUAAAUUAUUAUGUAGUCUUUUGAAAAGCCAAUGAUAUUACUGUGAUGGAUCCAAAAAAAAUCUCCUUCAUAGCAGCAAUUAUCAGUAACAUUAUUAGAUACAUGUACAAUAUGCCACUGGUAUGAAAAACCAAACAUCUGGAGAAGACGGAUGUUCAGGACCACGCUGGGUUUUCUCUGAAAAAAACUUCUCUCUGCAUCCCCGACUGUUGUCCUGGUAUUGUCAGCAAGCACAAGCCCGAAUGGCAUGCAGAUUGUGUUAAUUUGCACUGAAGACAGUCUUUGGCUCUACAAAUAAGAAAGCAUCUUUAAACACAUCCGUUCUCUACUGAGCUGAGUACUCCUGGCUUCCAGCUCUGUGGUGCACACAUGCACUCGGCCAGCAAGAUCAGUGAGGGACUUACAAGGUAAGUGUGAGCAAGUUUAUGAUGAAGUCGUUAAAUUCACGGACACUGUUCUUUUUUCAACAUCUCAUAUUGGACCAUGGAUUUGAUAUUUCAAGUAGUAACAUCAUUCUGCUGUUGAACUAGAAUAGUGAUGUUGGGUGGUAUUUGCUAGUUCUUCUGGUGUCACUGUGAGCCGUGAAUCUCUCAAAAGGAAUCAGUGGUUUGGAUGGGAGAAGAGGAAAGGAUAGAACUUGCUUGGGUAAUCAUACAAGCAGUCCUUGUGCUGCUUUUAACUUGUGCAGCUUUUAACUAAGCUGAGUGUUACCCAUCCCCAGUCCAGUCACUGAAUUACUCUGUUGUGC